UGUGUAACAUGGUUAAUAAUGAUUACACUUGCCAUUGUACCAGAGGUGUAUGUGUGUAUUUUGGGUCUAGUGUUCUGUCACUUUAAAAUACUUGUGUAGUUGCCUUUAAGGGAAUGACGCACGUUACGUUCUUCCCAGUUUAACUUGCCCAUGCAAGCGAUCACCAUUGCUGAAGAUACAUGUUGAGAACAGUCCAGUGAUCGCACUGUUUGUCUAUUAUCAGAAUAAAUCAGCUCAACUGG